rnacentral:lncRNA from 1 species
ACAAUUGAUAAAAAGAGGGUUUAAUUUGUGUGUUUAGUUAUUUUACGCAUCAACAUUAACAGUGCACAAAUCGGGGUUAGGGUUUUCUCGGGUUUUCGAAGCAUUCACGUCCAAACAAGGGUAUCAAUUUACUUAGGAGGUUACAAUGAGUAAGAACCUUACCUUUAAAGCUUCGAUCCGUGAAGUUUCAAGGGCUUUGGAUGUUUGUCCGUACGAGUUCGAAGGAGAGAGAGGGUGAUAGUCCAAGAGAGAUGGGAGGGUACGGGAGAGAGAAGAGAGAGUGUGUGUGUGGCCUAGGAUUGGUCAACCACCAAAAAGUACCAUAAGCUAAUCCUAAUUGGUUCCAAACAAUUAGGAUUUAAGAAUAUUACCCAAAGCUACACUUAAACCACAUUACACAACUAACAUCCAAGGGUAUUUUCGUCAAUUCAAGCCGUCGAUAAAUAUAUAUUUGGGACGGGCUGUGACAAUAUAUAU